rnacentral:tRNA from 1 species
GGAGAAUUAGUCCUAAUUGGUAAGGCAGUGGUCUUGAAAACCACCGGGCUUCGCCCUUGGGGGUUCGAGUCCCUCAUUCUCCGCCA